rnacentral:rRNA from 1 species
UAAAAAGAGAAUAUGAUGUUAGUUCAGAUUAAAUACUAUAUAGAGACAUUACACAUGCAAAUCAAACGAUGAAAUAUAUAUAUAUAAAAUAUAAUAAUAUUAAUUAAGUGAUGUAUUCGUGAGUAAAAAAUAGAAUAAGAAUUAAUAAUUUAAUGAAAUAUUAAAUAAUCAAUAAAGAUAAUAAAUUUAUAUGAAUAAUAUAAAUAAAUUAUUGUUAUUAAUCAAGCUAUAAAUAGUAUAGGUAAUAUGUAGGAUAAUAGCCAUACAUAGCCAACAAUCUAUAACAAUUAAUAAGCGUUAUAAUUGUCACGUCGAAAAUGAAAGAUAAUCGAUAUCUAUAAGAUACAGCAGUGAGGAAUAUUGGGCAAUGAUUUAACGAUUGACCCAGUUAUCUAUAAUAAUGAAAUAAUAAUAAUAAAAAUUAAUUUAAUUAAUAAAGAAAAAAAAAUUAAUUGGUAAAAAAUAAAGUUAUAGGAAAGUGAAAAUAAUGAUAGUAACUUAAAAUAAUAUUUUAUAAUAAUAUUAUUAUUUAUAAUAAUAUUAUUAUUCUGAGAGUUCCAACUAAAAUAUGUGCCAGCAGUUGCGGUUAGACAUAGGGAGCAAGUAUUAAUCAUAUUGGUUUAAAGGAUCCGUAGAAUUUAUAUAUAAAAAUAUAUAUAGAGUUAAUAAAAGUAAUAAAUGAAUUAUAAAAGUAAUGAUGAAAUAUUAUAAUAUUUAUAGGACAGACAAGUUCGAAAGUUUUUAUUAUAUAUUAACUGACAUUGAGGGAUGAAGGCUAUAAUAAUGACAUGGAUUCGAUACCCAAUUAAUUAUAGCAGUAAACUAUGAAUACUUAUCAAAUAAUAAUAAAAUGAUAAAGAGAAAUCAAUAGUAUUCCACCAGGAGAGUAUAAUUACUAAAUUAAAACCCAAUACAAUAGACGGUUAUAAUCAAUAGCAGUGGAGUAUGUUAUUUAAUUCGAUAAUCCGCGAAAAACUUACCACAUUUUGAAUAAUUUAAUUUUUAUAUUAAAUUACAGGCGUUACAUAGUUGUCUUCAGUUCGUGCUGUGAAGUUUAAGGUUAGUUCCAUUAACGAACGAAUCCCUAUACAAAUAAAAAAUAUAUAUAUAUAAAUAUUUGUAAUUUAUUAUUUAGAUGCAUAGUAAAAAUAGGAUUAAGACAAAUCAUUAUGACCCUAAUAAUGUGGGCUAUAGACGUACUAUAAAAAAAGGAAAAAAAUUUUAGGAGAUGUAUAAAUAAAUAUCAAAUAAUUAAUAAAAAAACUUUUAUAAUGUUAUAUAUUAAUAUAUAAUAUUAAUAUGGAUUAUUUCCUGUAAUUCGGAAAUAUGAAAAAAGAAUUGCUAGUAAUCAGUUAUUAAUCAAAUAACGGUGAAUAUUAUUAAUUGUUUCGCACUAAUUACUCGUCACGCGAUAAGUUUAAAAUAAUUCCAAAAAUAAAUAUAUAUUUUUAAUUUAAUUAAUAUUAAUUAAUAAUAAUUAUUUAUAUAUAUUAUUUAAUAAUAAUUUUAAUAUUAUUGCGAAGUCGAAAUACAGUUACUGUAGGGGAACCUGCAGUGGGCUAUAUUAUAUC